ACGCUCGACACCUACGGGGGCAGCAGUGGGGAAUAUUGCACAAUGGGGGAAACCCUGAUGCAGCGACGCCGCGUGAGUGAAGAAGUAUUUCGGUAUGUAAAGCUCUAUCAGCAGGGAAGAAAAUGACGGUACCUGACUAAGAAGCCCCGGCUAACUACGUGCCCGCAGCCGCGGUAAUACUGAGCGGGCGUGCGAAGGCG
rnacentral:rRNA from 1 species